GAUGAAGAACGCAGCGAAAUGCGAUAAGUAGUGUGAAUUGCAGAAUUCAGUGAAUCAUCGAAUCUUUGAACGCACAUUGCGCCCCAUGGUAUUCCGUGGGGCAUGCCUGUUCGAGCGUCAUUUACCCCCUCAAGCUCCGCUUGGUGUUGGGCGUCUGUCCCGCUUCGCGCGCGGACUCGCCCCAAAGGUAUUGGCAGCGGUCGUGCCAGCUUCUCGCGCAGCACAUUGCGCUUCUCGAGGCACCGGUGGGCCCGCGUCCAUCAAGCUCACCCCCCCAGUUUGACCCCGGAUCAGGUAGGGAUACCCGCUGAACUUAAGCAUAUCAAUAAGCGGAGGA
rnacentral:misc_RNA from 1 species